rnacentral:misc_RNA from 1 species
GAUUCUCGAACUCUUUUUCUUCUUUCGCUCGUGUGUGUGCGGUGUGCUAUUUAGUGAUGCUGAACCCUGUCAUUACUCCACGGCGCAGCCAUGAUACACGACACCCUGAAAGUGUGCGUCUUCGUAGGCUUCUUGGGCUCUGGGAAGACCACUAUCCUUCAGCGCCUUCUCCCCACCCUCCCACGUGAGGAGAAGGUGCGUAUCAUUGUGAACGACAUCAGUUGUGAUAACAUCGACGCUCACGCUUUUCAGCCAUCCGGCGCAACGAACUCCACAUCUGCUCGUGGCAAUGAUGUAGUGGCGCUCUCCGGUGGGUGCGUGUGCUGCAAUCUGCUCUCCGACCUCGUUGCGGAGCUACAGUCUGCACACGCGCAGGGAUGCGGGUAUUCGCUUGUAGAGUGCACAGGCGUUGCGGAUCCCGUCCCCAUCGCAGCCACCCUGCAUGCGCUCCCCGAGCUUCGUGUGUGCGUAGAGGUCGACGCGGUGGUGAUGGUCAUCGCCGCGUCCUCCUUGCUCUCGGUUACGACAGGUGAACAAGUCGCGCUCGACUCGCUGGACGUGCUGCGCGGCGACCCCAUUCAAGGCGCCAACGUGGUCCUCAUCAAUAAUUGGGAGUACACGGAUCGUAUCGACGCGACGAUGAUGCGACUCUGGGUGCGGCGCAUCAAGGAGUUCGCCAGCGAGUCGAACCCGCACGUACGUGUGUACUGUACGAAUGAAGGGUAUUUCGCCUUCGACUCGCUCGUCUACCGCCAAGGUCUUUUCACCGCUGACAAUGUCGCUUCCUUCUUCCUGGGCGCGUACGCCGCCGCAGGAAAAGUGAUCGGCGCUUUUGGUGGCAACGCCGCUGCUGAGGAGGAGGCGGGCGAGAUGAAGAAGCUGGGUUUGCGACUUUUCACACUCGAGCUGAGAGGGAAGGUCUUCUCGACACAGCUGCUGCGCCGGGCUCUCUUCAGUCCCGCAGCACGGCAACUACUCAAGAAUGUGUGGCGCAGCAAGGGCUACUUUAGCGCUCUGGACGACGAGGGCAGCGGUGGCUCGUACUCUGCAAAAGAGGUUCAGUUCCGCUGGCAGACGGUGAAGCGCAAGGUGGACUAUGGCGAGGUAUUGCCACCGUACGUGCCGCUGGUCGGCCGAGAAUCAGGUGAGCCUCUUUGCUGCCGAAUUGUCUUUAUCGGCGAUUUCGACGCCGGGGCUAAAGCCCAGCAGGCAGUCACAUUUUUUUCCGCGGUGGCGUCACGCAGCGUCUGACCCCUCUCUAUCUCCAUUCUCCUUUGGCUUGCUGUCGCUUGGCUGCGCUCUGCUGCUGUGCGCACCAACUCGCUCUCCGCCUUGCCCUCUUUCCACCAUCUGCCAUGUCCACCCGCCAACCACAUACGACUAACGCUGAGGCGCUUAUAAUCCGUUGUUGCCCCCCUCUCUUGCGCAUGUGUGUUAGCAAGCAUGCACACCAUUAUGCUGUUGUAUCGUCUCGCUACCUUGGGCGUCGACACACCAC